rnacentral:lncRNA from 1 species
CCAUCACAUAAAUAUCAUGCACAUCACAUAAAUGUCACAUUUAAACAAAUCCAUAAGUAUAAAUCCACAAGUUCAUUACAAGUCCAUCUAAAUAAAUCCACAAGUCCAUCACAAGUCCAAAUAAGUAACACAAGUGCAUCGUAAGAGAACUGCAACUGCGACUGUGUUGUACCAUGACACUGCGACUGUGGUGUACCAACCGAACAAACACAUGCAAAGAGAACUACCCGGCUCCCCAAGGUCCCCACUGCGACUGUGGUGUACCAUGACCUGGAACAUUCGAACCGGCGGAUGGAGGCUGCACAAAAGAGAUAUAGUAUUAUGGAUCGAUCCUAAAUCCAUUUGGCUACAUAUAAUAUUAUGGUUUAAUCCUAAGCAAUUAGCAACAAACUUAGACACUCAUACUCAUACUUACAGGAGUACCGCGCGCGGAAGGUGGAGGUGGAGGAAUAGCGAAUAGCGAAGGUGGCGCAGCUAAACCCUUAUGUUGCCCAAG